ACUGCAAUGUAAUAGCAUCCCGUCCUGGGGGAUUAGGUGGAUAGAUGGGACACUAGAUUGCAGAUCUUAUUCUUCACUUUCAAGUAUUCUCUUAUUCUUCACUUUCAACUUGAAGUGGACUCAUACAUUUUAAGGCUCUUUUUGCAAUAGAGAUGUUGUGGAUCAACUGUUGUUAUCUAGCAACUCGUGUAACUUGUGCCUAGCUUUUAAGAACCAGACACAGUUGAUUUUUGAGACAGGAGUUGUUAGGGGCCCAGUGAUUAUUCUAAUAGUACAGCUGUGUUUUUGUUAUGUAGUGUGGUUAAUCUGAAACUCCACAACAAAACCAAUUUGUGCCAGAGGACCUGUGUUUCCUAAAUCUAAAUGUCUAAUUAGUAAAGGGUAAUACAGCCCAUCUUUCAGCAGAUAUGAACACCCACCCAUCCCACCCCAGAGGAAGACAUCCACCACACACUAAUCUCCUUCGUGGAAAAUUAACGUCUUCUAUCCCUAACCCUACAGGAGACAGGGCCUAUAUAAAAUUGGUUCAUAUCUCUAAAUGGGGGCUGCAGAGUGUAGUGUAAUUUUGGGCAUUGAGUGCGCAACAGUUUCUGGAUGAAAAUUAUAGCUGCUAUCUUUGAUUUGAAGGUUGGGGAGAGCAUGAGAUUUGUACCGAGGGGGGCGACUGACAGUAAAAAGAAAUGGAGGGGGGAGAUGAUGGGGCAAUGAAAGGUUGGGACUUCUGAAAAGUUUUGUUAAAAUAUAAUAUUUUGGUUACAAAUGCUCUCUGUUACAAUUUCAGUUUAAUACCAUCACUUUACAAAGAACUUAAAGCUGAAGGGGUUGAGUUUUCUGACAGCAGACAAUUGAGUUGUCUCUUCAAGAAGCAGAAGCAGGCAAGGCCCGGAAUGCGUGCGGGGGAACGGAUACUACACUGGUUUUGGGAAAUCUCUCCUGUAUUAAGCACUACCACUCGUGCUUGAUCUUACCUCACAAGAGGCUGGUCGUAUCGUCAUUGUUGUCUCACCAUUGGGGUAAGCCUUAUGAACGACCAAGUGUCCCAUUUGAGGGAGCUAGGGCUAAAAGCAGGUAACAUAAGUUCACUUGAGGGUGGUAAACGCACUCGUGUUGAAAGCGGCGAAUAUUCCUUAGUUUACGGAUCCCCUGAAGCGUGGUUAAAGAACGAACGCUGGAGAUUUAUGCUAACGAAUUCUGUGUAUUCCAUAAAACUCUGUGCCAUUGCUGUCGAUGAAGCGCAUGUUGUAAGACAGUGGUAAGUGUUUAAAUAAAAAUGAGUCUGCACCAAAAUGUUAUGUUACAUGUAUGUUUUAAAUUAAGCAGUAUAAAGGAAAGGACAAUAAGAAUG